rnacentral:misc_RNA from 1 species
AAAAAGCAUAAUGUUGCAAUAUAUAACAUCAAUUUUAACAAUUGUAGAAGAUGGUGAAAAUUCCAUUAAAAACUUCAGCCAUUACUCAAUGAUCUAAAAGUUGCGUGCUAACACUGAAAACUAAUCAUCAUGUAGAAAACACACACAUUGGAAUCUCAUUGUUUGGAUUGCCUCAUUAAUGAAAGAAAACGAGAGACCAACUCAACUAAGCCUUGAACCCAAACAACAAUAAGAGACAAUGGCCCAAAAAUAACAUUAAAUAGAAACCACUGAUGCUUAU